rnacentral:tmRNA from 1 species
GGGGACGUACUGGUAUUGACAGGAUCGUUUACGGGUUAGUAAGCAUGCCGGAGCACGAUUGUUCACUCCGUUAUCAAAUGGCGAUCAACAACAAGUGGCAAUAGCUACGCACUCGCUGCCUAAUUAGUACCAGGUAUUAGUUAGCGGCUGUAUGCGACGCCUGCGCGCCAAGGCGCGCCCCGGCUUCCGCCUGAUAAGCCCUGCGUCCAUGCAUCAUCAAAACCAGGCUGGGUAGUAUAAGUGGCCCACUUAUCCUGCCGAGAUCCAGGGCUGGGCGCCGGACCGGUUUGCUGAUGAACCUAUCCCGGUGCUGAGAUCCAAAUCAGCAGCUAAGCAUGUAGAAAGCUAGUUCGUGCUUUCUCUGGACGCGAGUUCGACUCUCGCCGUCUCCACAA